UACGGUUACAUCAUGUUGAAACAUCGGUCUCCGUACGAUCACCGGAGUUAAGUAGCAUUGAGCCUGGUCAGUACCUAGAUGGGUGACCGCUUAGAAGUACCAGCAGCUGUAA